rnacentral:rRNA from 1 species
AUGGAUCCCUUCGUUUCUGACCCCACCGGUCCUGUGACAACCAGCCCCAAAACUCAGGGACAAGAGGAAGAGGGCCUUGGAACCGACCCCUCCUUCAAUUCCCUUACCACUGAGUCCGUCGGCGCGAGCCCCGACGCGGAGGGCGGCGCCGCCGCCACACAGGCGGACGAUGAGGCGGAGAGUGGGGCGCCCGGCUCCCCUUCCCCGCCCCGACUGCCGCCGAGCAUCUCCGCGCGCCCGCGAUCCUCUCAGGGCCGCGUGCUUCCGGAGGCUGGCCGCCUCCUGCGAAGCCCGCCGACUCCGCGAGGCGGCGCUCCUCCGUGCGUCUAA